AGAGUUUGAUCAUGGCUCAGGAUGAACGCUAGCUACAGGCUUAACACAUGCAAGUCGAGGGGCAUCGAGAAGAAAGCUUGCUUCUUGUCGGCGACCGGCGCACGGGUGAGUAACGCGUAUCCAACCUUCCCUAUACUAGAGAAUAGCCCGGCGAAAGUCGGAUUAAUGCUCUAUGUUCUUCCUUGAUGGCAUCUGAUUGGAAGCAAAGGCUUGCCGGUAUAGGAUGGGGAUGCGUCUGAUUAGCUUGUUGGCGGGGUAACGGCCCACCAAGGCAACGAUCAGUAGGGGUUCUGAGAGGAAGGUCCCCCACAUUGGUACUGAGACACGGACCAAACUCCUACGGGAGGCAGCAGUGAGGAAUAUUGGUCAAUGGGCGAGAGCCUGAACCAGCCAAAGUAGCGUGCAGGAAGACUGCCCUAUGGGUUGUAAACUGCUUUUAUAGGGGAAUAAAGUGAGGUACGUGUACCUUUUUGUAUGUACCCUAUGAAUAAGGACCGGCUAAUUCCGUGCCAGCCGCGGC
rnacentral:rRNA from 1 species